UACGGAGGGGGUUAGCGUUGUUCGGAAUUACUGGGCGUAAAGCGCACGUAGGCGGACUAUUAAGUCAGGGGUGAAAUCCCGGGGCUCAACCCCGGAACUGCCUUUGAUACUGGUAGUCUAGAGGCCGAGAGAGGUGAGUGGAACUCCUAGUGUAGAGGUGGAAUUCGUAGAUAUUAGGAAGAACACCGGUGGCGAAGGCGGCCAUCUGGACCGAAACUGACGCUGAGGCGCGAAAGCGUGGGGAGCAAACAGG
rnacentral:misc_RNA from 1 species